rnacentral:tRNA from 1 species
GGGCUUAUGGUUUAAUGGAUCAGAAUGCUUCACUUCGGAUGAAGCGGUACAGGUUCGAAUCCUGUUUAGCCCU